rnacentral:rRNA from 1 species
CACGUAGGGCGCGAGCGUUGUCCGGAAUUAUUGGGCGUAAAGAGCUCGUAGGCGGCCUGUUGCGUCCGCUGUGAAAGCCCCGGGGCUUAACCCCGGGUCGCAGUGGAUACGGGCAGGCUAGAGGUAGGUAGGGGAGAAUGGAAUUCCCGGUGUAGCGGUGAAAUGCGCAGAUAUCGGGAGGAACACCGGUGGCGAAGGCGGUUCUCUGGGCCUUACCUG